GAUGAACGCUGGCGGCGUGCUUAACACAUGCAAGUCGAACGAUGAAAGCGGGAGCUUGCUCCUGCUGGAUUAGUGGCGAACGGGUGAGUAACACGUGAGUAACCUGCCCUUGACUCUGGGAUAAGCGUUGGAAACGACGUCUAAUACCGGAUACGACCUUCGGAGGCAUCUCCUGGGGGUGGAAAGAAUUUCGGUCAAGGAUGGACUCGCGGCCUAUCAGCUAGUUGGUGAGGUAAUGGCUCACCAAGGCGACGACGGGUAGCCGGCCUGAGAGGGUGACCGGCCACACUGGGACUGAGACACGGCCCAGACUCCUACGGGAGGCAGCAGUGGGGAAUAUUGCACAAUGGGCGCAAGCCUGAUGCAGCAACGCCGCGUGAGGGACGACGGCCUUCGGGUUGUAAACCUCUUUUAGUAGGGAAGAAGCGAAAGUGACGGUACCUGCAGAAAAAGCACCGGCUAACUACGUG
rnacentral:rRNA from 1 species